rnacentral:lncRNA from 1 species
UUUUAAUAGGCUCGUAACUCAUCAUGACUAAAAUACGGGAACACUUACUCACACAUCUUAUGUCCAAGUUAAAAAAGACACCUGCCAACUUAAGAUGAACCAAGCUCAAUUAGUUUCAAGCAAUCAAGGAAAAGGCCACUGUUGUUCCUAUGGCUUAAUAAAGGAAAAUAAAUACUUUCUAUAAAAUAUAGUGUUGUUGACUUUAAAUGAGCUUCACAGUAUAAGGCAAAACUGAAUAUAAGACUUUUAAAGAAAUUACUUGGCUACUUACCAUAUAGCUUGGGUCUAGUAGUUAAUGCACCAUAGAACCCUUAAAUGUACUAGCAAAGUUUACUACUGAACAGAGGUUUUCCAAAUCCUAUUUUUGUAAAUAGAAGAUUCAUUUUUGCAAGUUAUUACUCAGUAAUUCCAUUCUAAAAUUUGUGUUUGCCUGAAAUGUAGCACUCCAGCAUAUAUGCAUGUAAUAUAUCUGUGACAGAACAAAUGCCAGGUGUUCUUUGUCCAAGUCUGAUGUAAACUGCUGUCACCUGGUUCAGACCCAGAGUCUUCUACAUGGAAGAGGGGGAAAAACAAUGGAAGUAGAAGCUAAAACUUAGUCUAUCUAAAACCAAAUUCAUUUUUUUAAAACACAAAAUUAUCCUUACAUUCUCUUUCUCUAUUAAAGGCCGAGCCAGGAUGACUGUCUUGGUCUCCUCUCCGAUCCUCUUUUCUCCCCUCUUCCUUCUCUCUUUUCCUUCCUUCCUUCUCUCCCUCUUUCUUUUCCUUUCGUCUAUCCAUCCACCCAACAAUUAUUUAUUGAGUACCUAUUGCAUACUAAGCACCAAUGCUAGGCUCUAAGGAUAUAGAAAUAAAGAAGACCAAAGUACAUAGGUAUGAUAUAGUGAUUGGAGAAAAGGGGUGGUUUAUAUAGGGUACUCAGGGAAGGCUUCUUUAAGGAGGUAGCAUUUGAGAAGAGAUUUGAAUGAAAUGAGGGACUGAGUUGUUAGAAAACUGGAGAAAUAAUGUUUCUCUGCUUUAGAGGUAUGCCAAGUUUAAAAUUUUUAUUUACUUACUGUGAAAGAUAAUAUAUACAUCAAGAUAUGCACAAAACAAAACAAUUUUUCUGCUCUUGGUUAACUCUGUCUUUCAGGAGAGCUCACGGCUCACCCCUCAGGUUUUCUGUUAUUUAAAGAAAACAAUAACUGUGCCUGACAAUUCAAUAAAAAUCUUUAUUUUAUGCAGUAUCUUACUGUUUUGCAGUAGAAAGAUCUCCCAAGUAUCUUUUGGAACUGGAAGUCUUGCUGGAAUGAUUUUUAAUAUUAUUAAUCAGAUUAUGUCACUCCCGCGAAUCAGAACCCACCAAUGGCUUCCCAUAACCUGCAGAAUAAAAUUACCGUGACCUUUGAGGCCCUGUGUGACCUGGUCAUCUCCUCUCUCUCCAAACUUGUUUCUUUCCGCUCACCGCCUUUUUUGUUCCAUUAGUAUUCUGGUCCUCAUGCUCAGUCAUUCUAGCCUCAGGGCCUUUAGAUUUAUUUUUCACUCUGUAAAAUUCAGCUCUUUAGAGAAACUAGCCAUGCUUUAGGUGAUCAACAGUCACGUGUAGCUUGUGGAUACUACAUUAAUGCAGAUACAGAACAUUUCCACCAUCAAAUAAAGAUCUAUUUGAACUAGGAUAGGUAGUUUAUAGGAAACAGGAGAAAAAAAUGGCUCUUAAGUUUUCUUCCUGAGCAACUGCAUGAAAGGCAAUGCCAUUUUCUAGGAGAUAGGAAAAACAGGGGAAACAGCAAGUUUGGAAGGAAAAUACAUUUCAAUUUUGCAGCAAGAGAAAUGUUGAGAAGAAGUUUGGAAGAAAAAUAUAGUUCAAUUUUGCACCAGGAGAAAUGCUGAGUAGGCAGAGCUCAGGAAAAAGUGGGAACUAGAGAUACAAAUUUGAAACACAUAACUAAAGAGACAGUAUUUUUUAAGUCAUAGAAUUAGAUCUGAUUGCAAAUGGUACAACCCCUUUGGAAGGCCUUUUGACAAUGACUAUCAAAAUUACAG